rnacentral:tRNA from 1 species
CUGGAUGUGGCUCAGCUUGGUAGAGCGCUACAUUAGGGAUGUAGAGGUCGCAAGUUCAAAUCUUGUCAUCCAGA